rnacentral:lncRNA from 1 species
GUAUUUAAAAAAUCCCACGGAACACAGCUUGCGGAAGGCAGAGAGUGAGGCUGAAGCACGAUGACCUAGAUCUGGAGGCGGCCCGCCAGACAGCGGAGGGAAGCUCCUGCCCCUCCCCCACGGCCACCUCUCUGCCAGCGAGGGCCGGGGCUUGGGGUUGCAAAGGCUGGCUCCACCUCUCCACUGCAUCCCAGCUCCCCGGCUGGCCAUGCGAGCAUCAGGCCAGAGAGAUCGGAAAACCCUCCCAGAAUCAACAGGACGCAGCGAGGGCUCUGGUGCCCACUGCCCAGCUGCGCAGGCCAAGGCCCUCCGUGGCCCUGGUACCUGCCCUGCUGGUGGCACCCUGCCUGGUGCAUGCUGGCCUUGGGGCCCGGGCACCAGCCGGGGAGGGCAGAGUGGGUUGGUGGCACAGGUGCACUGGCUGUCAUGCCCAGGUGAGAAGGCGGCGACCAGAGCCCUCAGAGCACACAUCCGUCAUCUGGUUUCCUGGGUCUCUGGCGACUGGUCAUACUUGGGUGAGGGCAAGGACUCAGGGUCUCAGUUCACUCCCCUUCAUCAUCUCCUUCCCACCCCUCUUUCUGGCUGCAGGUCGUCGGGGGUUCCUCUGCCUGCAGAGAAGAGCCAUCUGCAGAGCUCUGCCUGCCCGGCACAGGGCAGAGGUCUGGGGCCAGGAUCACGGUGGAUGCUUAGGAGGUCAGAAAUUCAGGGGGGACUCUGCUGGGUAGUUCAUGUGAUUUCAGGCAGACAAUGUCUGGAGCUGGAGCAACUGGCUAGACGUCUCCCUUUCCGUGAAGUCUCAGCGUUUCUUCCUAACAACUCUGCAGGUG